UGUCGUCAGCUCGUGUCGUGAGAUGGUUGGGUUAAGUCCCGCAACGAGCGCAACCCUUGUCAUUAGUUGCCAUCAUUUAGUUGGGCACUCUAAUGAGACUGCCGGUGACAAACCGGAGGAAGGUGGGGAUGACGUCAAGUCCUCAUGGCCCUUAUGGUAGGGCUUCACACGUCAUACAAUGGUCGGUACAGAGGGUUGCCAAGCCGCGAGGUGGAGCCAAUCCCUUAAAGCCGAUCGUAGUCCGGAUCGUAGUCUGCAACUCGACUACGUGAAGUCGGAAUCGCUAGUAAUCGCAGAUCAGCAUGCUGCGGUGAAUACGUUCCCGGGUCUU
rnacentral:rRNA from 1 species